AGAGUUUGAUCCUGGCUCAGGAUUAACGCUGGCGGCGUGCCUAACACAUGCAAGUCGAACGAGGUAGCAAUACCUAGUGGCAGACGGGUGAGUAACGCGUGGUCAACCUACCUUCGAGUGGGGGAUAACUAGCCGAAAGGUUAGCUAAUACCGCAUGAAACGUAGCGCGGCAUCGUGCAACGUUAAAAGAAGCAAUUCGC
rnacentral:rRNA from 1 species